rnacentral:sRNA from 1 species
GGCCAUUCCUAGCGAGGCAGUAGGCACCGCCUCUGUCACAUUUCCUAGCUCCUAAAGCGCGGGACCAGGCGGAAACGUGCGACAGGAGGCGGUCCCACCUAACUUUGGACUGGAGUGUCAGUAGAACUCCCGUCUUUUCCAGCAACGCUUUGCAAGUUCUUCACCGCAAAGAACUGCCGCAGACUUCCGCCUGGGUGCCAACCACGUGAUCACGCGAGCGUUGGAGAGGCGUAGCCUAAAUUAUACAGAUCUGUGAUUGAAGAUGUCAUUAAUGAUGUGAGAGACAUCUUUCUGGAUGAUGGAGUGGAUGAACAAGUACUGAUGGAAUUAAAAACUUUAUGGGAAAACAAACUAAUGCAGUCCAGGGCAGUAGAUGGAUUUCAUUCAGAAGAGCAGCAGCUUCUACUGCAAGUUCAACAGCAGCAUCAACCCCAGCAGCAGCAACAUCACCACCAUCACCAUCAUCAGCAAGCUCAGCCUCAGCAGACAGUACCUCAGCAAGCGCAGACCCAGCAGGUUCUUAUUCCUGCAUCACAGCAAGCCACAGCACCACAAGUUAUUGUUCCGGAUUCUAAGUUGAUACAGCAUAUGAAUGCAUCAAACAUGAGUGCUGCUGCUACAGCUGCUACCUUAGCACUCCCUGCAGGUGUGACUCCUGUUCAGCAGAUAUUAACAAACUCAGGUAAUUAGGAAUGAUGGAACCAUUUUAAAAUGUAAUUCAGAAAAUUGUACUAUCUAGCCCUUAGGUUUUGUCUUCUUUGAAAGACAGAAAAUACUAAUAUUUCUUUUACCAUUUGGUUUAGGUUAUUAAAAUAACUUUAUUUGAGGGCUGUAACACAUACAACUGUAAUCGUUGUUGAGGAU